rnacentral:rRNA from 1 species
AUGAACGCUGGCGGCGUGCCUAAUACAUGCAAGUCGAGCGAACAGACGAGGAGCUUGCUCCUUUGACGUUAGCGGCGGACGGGUGAGUAACACGUAGGUAACCUACCUAUAAGACUGGGGUAACUUCGGGAAACCGGAGCUAAUACCGGAUAAUAUUUCGAACCGCAUGGUUCGAUAGUGAAAGAUGGCUUUGCUAUCACUUAUAGAUGGACCUGCGCCGUAUUAGCUAGUUGGUAAGGUAACGGCUUACCAAGGCAACGAUACGUAGCCGACCUGAGAGGGUGAUCGGCCACACUGGAACUGAGACACGGUCCAGACUCCUACGGGAGGCAGCAGUAGGGAAUCUUCCGCAAUGGGCGAAAGCCUGACGGAGCAACGCCGCGUGAGUGAUGAAGGUCUUCGGAUCGUAAAACUCUGUUAUUAGGGAAGAACAGACGUGUAAGUAACUGUGCACGUCUUGACGGUACCUAAUCAGAAAGCCACGGCUAACUACGUG